rnacentral:rRNA from 1 species
AUUGAACGCUGGCGGCAGGCCUAACACAUGCAAGUCGAGCGAGUGGCGGACGGGUGAGUAAUGUCUGGGAAACUGCCUGAUGGAGGGGGAUAACUACUGGAAACGGUAGCUAAUACCGCAUACCAUCGAAUGUGCCCAGAUGGGAGUAGCUAGUGGGUGGGGUAAAGGCUCACAUAGGCGCCGAUCCCUAGCUGGUCUGAGAGGAUGACCAGCCACACGGGAACUGAGACACGGUCCAGACGCCUACGGGAGGCAGCAGUGGGGAAUAUUGCACAAUGGGCGCAAGCCUGAUGCAGCCAUGCCGCGUGGAUGAAGAAGGCCUUCGGGUUGUAAAGUACUUUCAGCGGGGAGGCGUUACCCGCAGAAGAAGCACCGGCUAACUCCGUGCCAGCCGCCGCGGUAAUAC